AAGAUAGAGAAUAGACUGAUUUUUAUCAAAUCUUUAUUAUUCAAAAUCAUUAAUUGUCAUCUAUACUUUAGCCACAUUAGGUAAUUCCGUAAUUUUUAUUUAAGGAAACAAUAAAGAACAUUUAUGAUUAAUUUAUGGUUAAUUUAAUAAAAAGCUUAUCCUCCUAUACAUUAAAAGAGAAGUCACUUUAGUGAUUUUUGCUGACAUGUUAUUAAUAUAGAGCUUCUAAGAAAAAUUGUUAUAAUUCUAUUGGUCAAUUUUUUGAAUUUUAUUUUUCAUUUAUUUUAAUCAAUCGUUUAUAUAGACAAGCCCAAAACUAUUGUCGAUUUCGUUAAG
rnacentral:lncRNA from 1 species